rnacentral:rRNA from 1 species
GGAGUUAGCCGGUGCUUCUUCUGCGAGUAACGUCACAGAUGUAAGGUAUUAACUUACACCCUUUCCUCCUCGCUGAAAGUGCUUUACAACCCGAAGGCCUUCUUCACACACGCGGCAUGGCUGCAUCAGGGUUUCCCCCAUUGUGCAAUAUUCCCCACUGCUGCCUCCCGUAGGAGUCUGGGCCGUGUCUCAGUCCCAGUGUGGCUGAUCAUCCUCUCAGACCAGCUAGGGAUCGUCGCCUAGGUGAGCCUUUACCUCACCUACUAGCUAAUCCCACCUGGGCUUAUCCAUCAGCGCAAGGCCCGAAGGUCCCCUGCUUUCCCCCGUAGGGCGUAUGCGGUAUUAGCAGUCGUUUCCAACUGUUAUCCCCCACAAAUGGGCAAAUUCCCAGGCAUUACUCACCCGUCCGCCGCUCGUCAUCUUCAAAAGCAAGCUUUUGAAAUGUUACCGCUCGACUUGCAUGUGUUAGGCCUGCCGCCACGCGUUCAUCUACGAACCAACGAUACUAAACUUACUGUA